rnacentral:rRNA from 1 species
ACUUAAAUUGAAGAGUUUGAUCAUGGCUCAGAUUGAACGCUGGCGGCAGGCCUAACACAUGCAAGUCGAGCGGUAGCACAGAGAGCUUGCUCUCGGGUGACGAGCGGCGGACGGGUGAGUAAUGUCUGGGAAACUGCCUGAUGGAGGGGGAUAACUACUGGAAACGGUAGCUAAUACCGCAUAACGUCGCAAGACCAAAGUGGGGGACCUUCGGGCCUCAUGCCAUCAGAUGUGCCCAGAUGGGAUUAGCUAGUAGGUGGGGUAACGGCUCACCUAGGCGACGAUCCCUAGCUGGUCUGAGAGGAUGACCAGCCACACUGGAACUGAGACACGGUCCAGACUCCUACGGGAGGCAGCAGUGGGGAAUAUUGCACAAUGGGCGCAAGCCUGAUGCAGCCAUGCCGCGUGUGUGAAGAAGGCCUUCGGGUUGUAAAGCACUUUCAGCGGGGAGGAAGGCGUUAAGGUUAAUAACCUUGCGAUUGACGUUACCCGCAGAAGAAGCACCGGCUAACUCCGUGCCAGCAGCCGCGGUAAUACGGAGGGUGCAAGCGUUAAUCGGAAUUACUGGGCGUAAAGCGCACGCAGGCGGUCUGUCAAGUCGGAUGUGAAAUCCCCGGGCUCAACCUGGGAACUGCAUUCGAAACUGGCAGGCUAGAGUCUUGUAGAGGGGGGUAGAAUUCCAGGUGUAGCGGUGAAAUGCGUAGAGAUCUGGAGGAAUACCGGUGGCGAAGGCGGCCCCCUGGACAAAGACUGACGCUCAGGUGCGAAAGCGUGGGGAGCAAACAGGAUUAGAUACCCUGGUAGUCCACGCCGUAAACGAUGUCGAUUUGGAGGUUGUGCCCUUGAGGCGUGGCUUCCGGAGCUAACGCGUUAAAUCGACCGCCUGGGGAGUACGGCCGCAAGGUUAAAACUCAAAUGAAUUGACGGGGGCCCGCACAAGCGGUGGAGCAUGUGGUUUAAUUCGAUGCAACGCGAAGAACCUUACCUGGUCUUGACAUCCACAGAACUUUCCAGAGAUGGAUUGGUGCCUUCGGGAACUGUGAGACAGGUGCUGCAUGGCUGUCGUCAGCUCGUGUUGUGAAAUGUUGGGUUAAGUCCCGCAACGAGCGCAACCCUUAUCCUUUGUUGCCAGCGGUCGGCCGGGAACUCAAAGGAGACUGCCAGUGAUAAACUGGAGGAAGGUGGGGAUGACGUCAAGUCAUCAUGGCCCUUACGACCAGGGCUACACACGUGCUACAAUGGCAUAUACAAAGAGAAGCGACCUCGCGAGAGCAAGCGGACCUCAUAAAGUAUGUCGUAGUCCGGAUUGGAGUCUGCAACUCGACUCCAUGAAGUCGGAAUCGCUAGUAAUCGUAGAUCAGAAUGCUACGGUGAAUACGUUCCCGGGCCUUGUACACACCGCCCGUCACACCAUGGGAGUGGGUUGCAAAAGAAGUAGGUAGCUUAACCUUCGGGAGGGCGCUUACCACUUUGUGAUUCAUGACUGGGGUGAAGUCGUAACAAGGUAACCGUAGGGGAACCUGCGGUUGGAUCACCUCCUUACCUUAAAGAA